rnacentral:lncRNA from 1 species
AGGAUUAUAAUUCAUUGAUUGUAACCAUAUAGCCAUAGUUUUCCAAGUUGAAGUGUUGUGUUUUCUUUUUACUUCAAACAAAAAGAGAUAUGUUUUUAUACAUAUCGUCUUUUUUAUUACUUAACAACGUAACUCUACAAUUCUACGUAUUGCCCUGAAGAAGUGAAUAAUCAUUCACGAAAACGUUAGGCCGUACAAUUGAUACGCAUUGAGUUUUGGUUUGCAGAUUUCCCCAAUAUUCAAAACUUUACUGUUUAACUUAUCUGCAAAGAUUAAUCUUUCUUUAUUUUAUAGGAACAUGGGGUUUUACAACACAAUAAGGGUAGAGUAUGGUGAACAAUCGGUGAGGUUUCUCAAGGAUUACCAAAGAACCAAUUUAAAACUGGCCAAGGAAAGGAAUCGGAGACUUUUCUUGCUUUCAUGUAGAAGUAAAGGUAUCACACCUAAUCAUAUUUGUCAUGCCACUACAUCUGUUCAUAAUUACAUACACAGAAAUGAAUUUUGGCAACUGGAAGGAUGUCAACAAUUGAUCAGGUUAGACAGUAAACUUUUAAAUGUUGAGAUUGCAACCAA